rnacentral:rRNA from 1 species
AAACACGGACCAAGGAGUUUAGCGUGUGCGCGAGUCAUUGAGUGGCAAAACUCAAAGGCGAAAUGAAAGUGAAGGGAACUUUACGUUUCUGAGGGAAGAUGAGACGGUUUCUUUUCCAAGAGCCUCUCCGCACUCCCGGGGCGUCUCUAUCUCAUUGCGAGAGGAGGCGCACCUAUAGCGUACACGCUGAUACCCGAAAGAUGGUGAACUAUGCCUGGCCAGGACGAAGCCAGGGGAAACCCUGGUGGAGGUCCGCAGCGAUUCUGACGUGCAAAUCGAUCGUCGGAGCUGGGUUUAGGGGCGAAAGACCAAUCGAACCAUCUAGUAGCUGGUUCCCUCUGAAGUUUCCCUCAGGAUAGCUUGCGCUCGGACGAGACGAGUCUCAUCCGGUAGAGCGAAUGAUUAGAGGCCUUGGGGUCGAAACGACCUCAACCUAUUCUCAAACUCCAAAUAGAUGAGAACCCUGGCUUUCUUAAACUAUGAAGCCAAGGGGUUUCGGAUCAGAGUGCCAAGUGGGCCAAUUUUGGUAAGCAGAACUG